rnacentral:misc_RNA from 1 species
AAAGUCGUAACAAGGUUUCCGUAGGUGAACCUGCGGAAGGAUCAUUGCUGAUGCCGGCGGCACGGUCGAUCCCUCGCGAGGGGGUGAGGCCGCUGCCGCUUUCAACAUCAUCUGCCCCUUUGUGAACCCGGCAUUGGAGCGCCGUCGUGGCGAGCGAGCUUUGGGGCCCGCUCUGUCCUGGUCUCCUCUGCCCAAACAACCUGUCUUUUAUUGCCUGUCUCCCCAGACUGAAGCAACAAAAACAAAACAUAUCUUACAACUUUUAACAAUGGAUAUCUUGGCUCGC